UACAGAGGGGGCAAGCGUUGUCCGGAUUUACUGGGCGUAAAGAGCGCGCAGGCGGUCGAAUAAGUCGAAUGUGAAAGCCCCCGGCUUAACUGGGGAGGGUCAUUCGAUACUGCUCGACUUGAAGGCAGGAGAGGGAAGUGGAAUUCCCGGUGUAGUGGUGAAAUUCGUAGAUAUCCGCAAGAACACCAGUGGCGAAGGCGGCUCACUGGCCCGGUACUGACGCUGAGGUGCGAAAGCGUGGGGAGCAAACAGG
rnacentral:rRNA from 1 species